UGAUCAGUUUUGUCCGCAGAUAAU
rnacentral:snRNA from 1 species